rnacentral:lncRNA from 1 species
AUGCGCGGUCUGCCUCCCGCGGCGGGCCGGGUCUCCAGGGAGGACCUGAGUUUUCUUCACCCAUUGUCAGGGAGGCGCCAUCGCCCUGGCUUUGGGGCUGGGGCCUCCGGGGAGGUUCCGGUAGGGGCGUUGGAGAGGCCGCUCUUUUUGCAAGGCCCGAGACGGCGGGCCUUGCGCAGGCCGCCCUAUUCCGCGCCCUCAGGGCGUCAGUAUCAGCCUGAGGCUGGAUACCCCCGCUGGGCCCAGAUGCCCCCGCUGGGCCCGGAGCAUCCUCCGGCGCUGCCCUCCCAGAGCCACGCAGAGGCUGAGGUGGCGCGGGGGCGGCCCUGGCUCCGCGAGAAGCGGCGGCAGCGAGGGCUGGAGGACCCGGGCUGCGGGGCUCCGGGGCGUCUGGCCUGGGUGGGACUGAGCCCAUCCAGGGACUGGGACUCCGGGGUUCUGGUGUAGGUGGAUCCGGGGCAGGCUCAGGACCAAGUCCCUCUCCUUCCACCAAGGAGCGCCCAGAGGCCGGCGGGAGCUCCAGGUUCACCUCCUCCUCCUCCAGCUUGACUACAACACAAAUGAAUCCACUCAAAUGUUGGCAAGUGGAGCAGAGUCCCAGAACAGGUGCUGGAGCAGCCCCCCUGGAAGUGAUGCAGCAUCCAGGAAGACGGAGGAAGGGGCGGAGAAGGACCUCUGCUUUCCAGGCUGCCUUUUAUACUGCCUCUGGUCACCUGACGUGGAACGUACCCUAACCUAAUCAGUUACAUGAGGCGCUUGGAAACCACCGUCAAUUGGACCGCACUGGGAAACACAGAUGAACAAAGUCAACACCGCUUUGUCCUUCAGUGCCUGGCUCCUUUUUCAGCUCGUCUUGCGACUCUAGGUAUUGGAGUCCAGGGAGGGGUACGUCGCCUUUACCCUGUGCUUGCCACGAUC